AGAGCACUGAAUGGUCUAGGGGGCCUCACCGCCUACCGAAACCUAUCAAACUGCGAAUGCCGGAUAAAUGAUGUGCGGGAGUCAGGCCGCGAGAGAUAAGUUCCGCGGUCAAAAGGGGAACACCCCAGAUCGUCUGCUAAGGUCCCCAAGUACGCGUUAAGUGGGAAAGGAUGUUGGAUUGCACAGACAACCAGGAUGUUGGCUUAGAAGCAGCCACACAUUCAAAGAGUGCGUAAUAGCUCACUGGUCGAGUGAUCCAGCGCCGAAAAUGUAACGGGGCUAAAACGCGACACCGAAGCAGCGGGAUGCGUAAGCAUCGGUAGAGGAGCAUUGUGUGAGGAUUGAAGCCAGAGCGGGAGCACUGGUGGACUUCACAGAAGAGAGAAUGCCGGUAUGAGUAGCGAGACCCAUGCGAGAAACAUGGGCGUCGAAGGCCCAAGGUUUCCUGGGGAAGGUUCAUCCACCCAGGGUAAGUCGGGACCUAAGCCGAGGACUGAGGUCGUAGGCGAUGGACAGCAGGUAGAGAUUCCUGCACCACUUACACUUGUUUGACGAAGCAGUGACACAGAAGGAUAGGACGAGCGCGGUGAUGGUCAACCGCGUAGGCGGCACGAGGCUGGGGAGCAGUUAAGUACACUUCCCAAGAAGGCUGAGUGCUGACAGGACCGAAAAAGAGUAGGGAAGCGUCUGAGUUCACGCUGGCGAGAAAAGCUGCUAAGGAGAGUGUGAGUGCCCGUACCGGAAACCGACGCAGGUGGGCGAGGAGAGAAUCCUGAGACGGACGGGAGAACUCUUGUUAAGGAACUCGGCAAAAUGACCCCGUAACUUCGGGAGAAGGGGUGCCUCGAAAGAGGCCGCAGAGAAUAGUCACAAGCGACUGUUUAGCAAAAACACAGGUAUCUGCGAAAGCGAGAGCUGACGUAUAGGUGCUGACGCCUGCCCGGUGCUGGAAGGUUAAGGGGAAGUGUUAGGGGAAACCCGAAGCAGAGAACCGAAGCCCCAGUAAACGGCGGCCGUAACUAUAACGGUCCUAAGGUAGCGAAAUUCCUUGUCGGGUAAGUUCCGACCCGCACGAAUGGCGUAACGACUUGUGAGCUGUCUCAACAGGAGGCCCGGUGAAAUUGAAGUAUGUGUGAAGAUGCACAUUACCCGCGACUGGACGGAAAGACCCCGUAGAGCUUUACUGUAACCUGACAUUGGAUCUUGAUAACGGAUGCACAGGAUAGGUGGGACGCAGAGAGACGAGGACUUCGGUUUUCGUGGAGCGGCCGUUGGGAUACCACUCUUCUGUUAUUGAGAUUCUAACCUCAAGCCGUAAGCCGGAUGAGAGACAGUGUCAGGCGGACAGUUUGACUGGGGCGGUCGCCUCCGAAAGAGUAACGGAGGCGCCCAAAGGUACCCUCAGAAUGGAUGGAAACCAUUCGAAGAGAGCAAAGUCAGAAGGGUGCUUGACUGCGAGACCAACAAGUCGAGCAGGUACGAAAGUAGGGCUUAGUGAUCCGGCGGUAAGAGAGUGGAAUUGCCGUCGCUCAACGGAUAAAAGCUACCUCGGGGAUAACAGGCUGAUCUCCCCCAAGAGUCCACAUCGACGGGGAGGUUUGGCACCUCGAUGUCGGCUCAUCGCAUCCUGGGGCUGAAUUCGGUCCCAAGGGUUUGGCUGUUCGCCAAUUAAAGCGGCACGCGAGCUGGGUUCAGAACGUCGUGAGACAGUUCGGUCCCUAUCCAUCGUGGGCGAAGGACACAUGAGAGGAGCUGCUCCUAGUACGAGAGGACCGGAGUGGACGCAUCACUGGUGCAACUGUUGUCGUGCCAACGGCACAGCAGGGAAGCGAAAUGCGGAUGGGAUAAACGCUGAAGGCAUCUAAGCGUGAAGCCCACCUCAAGAAUAAGUGUCCCAUUCGAAAGAAGUAAGACCCCUGGAAGACUACCAGGUGAUAGGUCAUCGGUGAAAGAGUGGUAACAUUUGGAGCUUGAUGAUACUAAUCGGUCGAGGACUUGAUCUA
rnacentral:rRNA from 1 species